rnacentral:rRNA from 1 species
CUUGACGACCAUAGAGCAUUGGAACCACUUGAUCCCAUCCCGAACUCAGCAGUGAAACGAUGCAUCGCCGAUGGUAGUGUGGGGUUUCCCCAUGUGAGAGUAGGUCAUCGUCAAGA